UAGGGAAUCUUCGGCAAUGGGGGCAACCCUGACCGAGCAACGCCGCGUGAGUGAAGAAGGUUUUCGGAUCGUAAAGCUCUGUUGUAAGUCAAGAACGGGUGUGAGAGUGGAAAGUUCACACUGUGACGGUAGCUUACCAGAAAGGGACGGCUAACUACGUGCCAGCAGCCGCGGUAAUACGUAGGUCCCGAGCGUUGUCCGGAUUUAUUGGGCGUAAAGCGAGCGCAGGCGGUUUGAUAAGUCUGAAGUUAAAGGCUGUGGCUCAACCAUAGUUCGCUUUGGAAACUGUCAAACUUGAGUGCAGAAGGGGAGAGUGGAAUUCCAUGUGUAGCGGUGAAAUGCGUAGAUAUAUGGAGGAACACCGGUGGCGAAAGCGGCUCUCUGGUCUGUAACUGACGCUGAGGCUCGAAAGCGUGGGGAGCGAACAGGAUUAGAUACCCUGGUAGUCCACGCCGUAAACGAUGAGUGCUAGGUGUUGGAUCCUUUCCGGGAUUCAGUGCCGAAGCUAACGCAUUAAGCACUCCGCCUGGGGAGUACGACCGCAAGGUUGAAACUCUAAAGUGAAUUGAC
rnacentral:rRNA from 1 species